CCAGCGUUUCCAGGAGCUGCUGCAGCGGCAGCCGGGCGCGGGCGCGGCGCUGGAGGAGCAGCUGGAGGGGGCGCGGCGGCGGCUGAGCCAGCUGCAGCUGAAGGUGCUGCAGGAGACGCGGGGGACGGCCCCGGAUUUGGGCCCCUCCCGGCCCCUGGAGGGGUCCCCGCAGCUCCGGGGGCGCCUCCCCAGGGACCCCCAGGACGGGAACGCGGCGCCCGAGGAGCUGGAGGUGUCCCGGAAUUCCGGCUGCUCCCAGCCCGGCAGCCCCCGGAGCUCCCCCGUGCUCGGCUCCCGCCUCCCCUCGGACCCGGUGCGGCUGCAAAACACCAAAAAAAUCCCCAAAAAAUCCCCACAAAAUCCCAAAAAAAUCCCAAAAAAUUCCCCAAAAAGUCCAAAAAAAUAUCCCCAAAAAAUCCCAAAAAAGUAAAAGAAAAAUUCCCAAAAAUAAUCAAAAAAAUCCCCAAAAAAUCCCCAAAACCCCAAAAAAUCCCCACAAAAUCCCCAAAAAGUCCCCCAAAAAUCCCAAAAAAUCCCCAAAAUCCCGGUGAUUCCGCGGGGCCGUUCCCGGGGCUGAUCCCGGUUUUUGUUGGUUUCUGUUGGGGCCAGGGCUCGGGGCGGCCCCAGAUCAUCGGGCCCGAGGAGGAUUGGGAGCCCGGCAGCGGCAGCAGCGAGGUGAGGGGUCCCGAAAUGCGGGAAUUCGGGAAUUCUGGGGGGGGUUUUGGGGUUCCAGGUGGCAUUUUGGGGGUUUUGGGAACUCCAGGGGGGAUUAUUUUUGGGAUUUUGGGGAUUCCAGGUGGGAAUUUUGAGGGGAUUUUUUGGGAUUUGGGGGAUUCCAGGUGGAUUUUCAAGGGGAUUUUUGGGUUUUUGGGGAUUCCAGGUGGGAAUUUUGAGGGGAAUUUUGGGAUUUUGGGGAAUCCAGGUGGGAUUUUUGUGGGGAUUUUUGGGAUCCUGGCAUUGCCAGCUCUCCCUCUCUGUGUUCCCAGAGCGAUUCCGUGUUCCAGGAUUUGGGAAUUCUCAAAUCCCGCCCGGCCCACCUGGGCGUUUUCCUGA
rnacentral:lncRNA from 1 species